rnacentral:sRNA from 1 species
CAAAUGUAAUACAUUUGCAAAAUGGAAGGUCACGUUUUAAAUUUUAUUUUAAUCAGAAGUGGUUUUGCACGUCUGGAUUUUGUCUGAGGAAAUCAUGUUUCCUGUUUCAAUUGAUAAUGUUUAACCCCAGGAAGAAAAAAAAAAGUUAAAUAUGUUCUUGAUAUAUCAUUUAAUUUAAUUACACAGUGUUGAACAUAGAAUAUAUAGCUGUUGUAUUGAGAUUUUGUCAGUGGCAGGGUUUCAGGAAACCAAAUUUAGAAUACUACCCUGCUGCAAACAAUUUAUUAUGUAAUUAUUGUGUGCUUAUACUCUGAAUGCAUUCCAUAUUGAACUGUUUAUCUUAAGAAAAGCAACACAAACAAUUCUAGUCAUAUGAAGUUGAAUUUGAAUCCAGUGUGGUGUGUGCAUAUGUAAUACACGGGUUUCUGUGAUUUUUUGUUGCUUUAUUGAUGAUGCAGUAGCAUUCUUAAUUUGUGUAUCUAUCUUCUGACAAUAUAUUUGCCUUUGUCUUUGUAUUUUGAAGCUGUGCUAGAUUUGUAUCAAUUGAUAGAGAGUUAUUAAGGUUUUCUGUGAGGCUGUAAUCUUAUUGUCAUCAAUCAAAUUAUAUACAUAUCCUGUUGUAGAUUUGCAGGGUCUUCAUCGCUACAACACUGAUGCUCAUAGUUUUUAGUGUCGAAAUUGCACACCUGUUUCUGAGAGCGAAUAAUGCAUAUUUGCUGUCUAUACAUUUUUUCUUGUGUUGUAAAGCAUUUCUGUUUUGUUUACCAUAAAAUGAUAAGAUUUUUAUAGCUGUGAAUAAAAUCAUCAUCACCAUC